UGACCGGUUCCUCUCUUCGGGGAGCUAAAAGGCCAUGCGGACAGCCGGGUCAAAUGCCGA
rnacentral:sRNA from 12 species